rnacentral:rRNA from 1 species
AGAGUUUGAUCCUGGCUCAGAACAAACGCUGGCGGCGUGUCUUAAGCAUGCAAGUUGAGCGGCAAGGGGGAGCGAUCCCCCCUAGAGCGGCGGACUGGUGAGUAACACGUGGAUGAUCUACCCGAGGCAUGGGGAUAGUCACUAGAAAUAGUGGGUAAUACCGAAUACGGUGCGCAUCGUGAGGGUGCGCAAGAAAGGUGCUACGGCACCGGCCUAGGAUGAGUCUGCGUCCCAUUAGCUGGUUGGUGAGGUAAGAGCCCACCAAGGCGAUGAUGGGUAGCCGGCCUGAGAGGGUGUACGGCCACACUGGGACUGAGAUACGGCCCAGACUCCUACGGGAGGCAGCAGCUAAGAAUAUUCCGCAAUGGACGAAAGUCUGACGGAGCGACGCCGCGUGGAUGAAGAAGGCCGAAAGGUUGUAAAGUUCUUUUGUUGGGGAAGAAUAACCAUGGGAGGGAAUGCCCGUGGGAUGACAUGAACCGACGAAUAAGCCCCGGCUAACUACGUGCCAGCAGCCGCGGUAACACGUAGGGGGCGAGCGUUGUUCGGAAUUACUGGGCGUAAAGGGCAUGUAGGCGGUCUUGUAAGCUUGGCGUGAAAGACCACGGCUCAACCGUGGGAUUGCGUUGAGAACUGCGAGGCUUGAGUGACGGAGAGGGAGCUAGAAUUCCUGGUGUAGGGGUGGAAUCUGUAGAGAUCAGGAAGAAUACCAAUGGCGAAGGCAAGCUCCUGGCCGAUGACUGACGCUGAGGUGCGAAAGUGUGGGGAUCAAACAGGAUUAGAUACCCUGGUAGUCCACACUGUAA